CAGAAUCUGAGUAUGCUUUGCUAAUAUAAAGUAAAAAACUCUUUUCAUCUUCUAGUUUAGUAUUUUUUCGCACAACGUAUACGAUUCAAGCCAGAAAAAUAUUGAUAAAAUUUAUUGUUUAGUGUAACUAGGCAAAACAAUAAAUAUAGUGAGAGUGACGUUCUCCGGAAAUCCUGAGAACAUAUUGUUCUUGGGAUCCUAAUCAACCAAAAGAGCCGACCUAAUGUAAACAUUUUAUUUUUUAGGAAUUGUAGAGGUAUAUUAUACUUGUGGAAACACAAAUAUAGUUAUAGUAAAAGUAGUGGUUGUACUUUUACUCUCUACAUAUGUAAAAUGAAAAUUCCACUAGUAUUCCUCUUAAAUUUGUCUACAGCUUUUCUAUCAAUGCUUGGAAACAAAGACGUUAUAUGUUUACGUUAAGCGACGAUGACGACGCCUUAAUGCUCUAACAUUAUACUUAAAGAGGGAGUUGCAGGACAUAGACGAGAGGUUUCAGUCAUUCCUUAAGAUGAAAAAUUCUACUUUUCAAACACUGGGCUCGUUUGUGGGCCCAACCAUUCAAAGACAAAGACAACUUUUAAAGAAGGUGUUGGCCACGAAGAGCGAUUCAUGAUAACCGUCGUGGAUGACUGAUUUGGAUGAGGUUAGUUUCGCCGGACGAGAUAGUGUCGGAGGCAUUUUUCAAGUUUCGCAAUUCCAACGCUGGCUAGAAAGAAACAUCGACAUUCCGGUCCCAAUACCAUGGCCACAUGACGACAUUGGAACCCGAUUACUUUUUGACCGAUACUUCAUUUCCGUUAAGGAUAACUAUUAUACAAUGCGGCCGUAUCCAGAAAGAAACAUCGUAAAACGAAGCGAAUAUUCAAUUAACCCUUGAGUGGCGAACGAAAACCGAUUGAAUGUGUAUUCCACAUGAUACCCAGAAAUUUAAACUAUUGAUGAAGGUGCCGAGAGUAUAGUACUUGCAACAUAAUUUUAUACACAAACACGAACACACGGAAAAUGACAACCAACCAAUGUACCGAUGCGGGCCAAGGAUAUGCUUCCAGCUAAUUUCACGGCACAGAAAAUUUGGAAAUAUGUUUCCAACUACUUUUUUACUGCGUCAAUUUGCCUUGCCAUGGCAAUGAAAUCAUUAUAAAUAUAUACAAAAUACAUCGUAAGUUUACAAAUUAUUUGUUGUUUAGGUUUAUUCCAAUUUAUAUCAUAUAGUCUUUAACAUAUACCCUUAUUUUUCGCGAAAUUUCCGUCUAUGAUUUAUCAACAAUGUCUCCGUGAGUAGUCUUGAAUUGUAUUGUUGUAUUUAUAAACACGGAUGAUUUCCCACUGUUUGGGCAAAUAUCA
rnacentral:lncRNA from 1 species